rnacentral:rRNA from 1 species
GAUGAACGCUGGCGGCGUGCCUAAUACAUGCAAGUCGAGCGAACGGACGAGAAUCUUGCUUCUCUGAUGUUAGCGGCGGACGGGUGAGUAACACGUGGAUAACCUACCUAUAAGACUGGUAUAACUUCGGGAAACCGGAGCUAUACCGGAUGAUAUUUUUAACCGCAUGGUUCAAAAGUGAGAGACGGUCUUGCUGUCACUUAUAGAUGGCUCCGCGCUUCAUUAGCUAGUUGGUAAGGUAACGGCUUACCAAGGCAACGAUGCAUAGCCGACCUGAGAGGGGGAUAGGCCACACUGGAACUGAGACACGGUCCAGACUCCUACGGGAGGCAGCAGUAGGGAAUCUUCCGCAAUGGGCGAAAGCCUGACGGAGCAACGCCGCGUGAGUGAUGAAGGUCUUCGGAUCGUAAAACUCUGUUAUUAGGGAAGAACAUAUGUGUAAGUAACUGUGCACAUCUUGACGGUACCUAAUCAGAAAGCCACGGCUAACUACGUG